rnacentral:rRNA from 1 species
AGGUGAAAAGCACUUCGAACAGAAGAGUGAAAUAGUCCCUGAACCCAUACGCCUACAAGCAGUCGGAGCCGCUUCGUGCGGUGACGGCGUGCCUUUUGCAUAAUGAGCCUACGAGUUACUCAUCACCAGCGAGGUUAAGUACUUCAGGUACGUAAGCCGAAGCGAAAGCGAGUCUGAAUAGGGCGUCAAGUUGGUGGUGGUAGACGCGAAACCUUAGUGAUCUACCCAUGGGCAGGGUGAAGGUUUGGUAACACAAACUGGAGGCCCGAACCGGUAAACGUUGAAAAGUUUUCGGAUGACCUGUGGGUAGGGGUGAAAGGCCAAUCAAACUGGGAAAUAGCUCGUACUCUCCGAAAUGCAUUUAGGUGCAGCCUCUGUUGUUUUGUUCUAGAGGUAGAGCUACUGAUUGGAUGCGAGGGCUUCACCGCCUAUCAAAUCCGGCCAAACUCCGAAUGCUAGAACAUGAAGACAGGGAGUGAGCCAGCGGGUGCUAAGGUCCGUUGACGAAAGAGGGAGAACUCAGACCAUCAGCUAAGGUCCCCAAUUAUAUGCUAAGUUGGAAUUAAAACGGGGUGGGACUGCUUAGACAGCUAGGAUGUUGGCUUGGAAGCAGCCAUUCAUUUAAAGAGUGCGUAACAGCUCACUAGUCGAGCGGUCCUGCAUGGAUAAUACGCGGGCAUAAGCAUAUAACCGAAGCUAUGGGAUUGUAGAUGAUACAAUCGGUAGGAGAGCAUUCCAUUCAGCGUAGAAGCAGUAUCGUGAGGUAUUGUGGAGCGGAUGGAAAAGCAAAUGUAGGCAUAAGUAACGAUAAUGCGGGUGAGAACCCCGCACGCCGAAAGAUCAAGGAUUCCCCGGCAAUGUCAAUCAUCCGGGGGUAAGUCGGAUCCUAAGGGUAAGCCGAGUGGCGAUCCCGAUGGUAAACAGGUUAAUAUUCCUGUACUGAUCAUAACUGCGAUGCAGCGACGCAGAGGUGACACUGCUGCGUACUGACGGAAUAGUACGUUGAAACCCGUAUUCUUUGAUACCGGUAGUGAAGCACGCCGGUAGAGAUGAAAGGUGAUAGUACCGCAAUGCUUCGGUUGCGCGGAUAAUGCAGGUAAGCUGACUGCCAAGAAAACCUGCUAAGCUUCAGGUAAUGAUCAUCCGUACUGUAAACGGACACACGUGAUCAGGUAGAAAAUACUAAGGCGCUCGAGAGAUUCAUGGUUAAGGAACUAGGCAAAAUGGUCCUGUAACUUCGGGAUAAAGGACGCUCUUGUGAAAGAGCCGCAGAUAAUAGGCCCAGGCGACUGUUUACCAAAAACACAUGGCUAUGCUAAUUCGCAAGAAGAUGUAUAUGGCCUGACACCUGCCCGGUGCCGGAAGGUUAAGAGGAGAGCUCAGAGGUAACUCGAAGGUUUGAAUUGAAGCCCCGGUAAACGGCGGCCGUAACUAUAACGGUCCUAAGGUAGCGAAAUUCCUUGUCGGGUAAGUUCCGACCUGCACGAAUGGUGUAACGAUCUGGGUACUGUCUCAACCAUGAGCUCGGUGAAAUUGUAGUUCCGGUGAAGAUGCCGGAUACCCGCAACGGGACGGAAAGACCCCGUGAACCUUUACUGCAGCUUUGCAUUGAUUUUGGGUAACAGAUGUGUAGGAUAGGUCGGAGGCUUUGAUGCUGCGUCGUCAGGCGUAGAGUAGCCGUCGUUGAAAUACGACCCUUUUGUUAUCUGAGGUCUAAUCCCGUUAGGGAGACAUUGCAUGGUGGGUAGUUUGACUGGGGUGGUCGCCUCCAAAAGUGUAACGGAGGCUUCUCAAGGUACCCUCAAGGCGUUUGGUAAUCGUCUGCAGAGUGCAAUGGCAUAAGGGUGCUUGACUGUGAGACCGACACGUCGAUCAGGUUGGAAACA